UUGUUAAAAAGUGAAACAUAUCGUUUUACUAACGCUUUAAAAGAUAAAUUUUAUGCGUUACUAUAAACAAUUUUAGAGGGAGACACUAAUAUAAAGAAAAGCGUAUAUCUGGAUUCCAUCAGAGGAGAAGUGUUAGAAAAAGUUGUUCGUUUUUGUGAGUAUCACAAAGAAGAUGAGCUGUCCACUGAAGCUAUGGAUAGCGAGCCAACCUUCUCCUAUGACAGUAUCGACUUAUGGGACAAAUCUUUUGUUAAUGUUCAACAAGAUGUUCUUUUCGAACUUAUUUUAGCUGCCGAUCACCUUUGCAUCAAAUCGUUGUUUGAUUUGACUUGUAUGACUUUGGCCAAUUUAAUUAAUGAAAGAAGUCCAGAAUUGAUCCGAAGUUACUUCAACAUUGUUAAAGAUUUUGCUCCCGAAGAGGAAGACGAGCUCAGAAGGCAAAAUUUGUGGUACCAAGAAUUCUAGAAAUCAGAAAUCUUGUACAGCGAUGAGGUAAGAUUCUGAGAUGAAAAGAAAAAAUAUCACGUGUAUUUAAGACCUCUCAGUAGCAGAUUAUACGC